rnacentral:lncRNA from 1 species
UGUGUACCAUAUUUGUUUUUCCUUCAUUGUUGUAGUACAAAGUAGGCUGGGUUUUUUUUUCUUUUGAAAUGUUUCACAUUUUAUCAUACCAAGUCUUUUUAUAGAUGAUUAUAUGGUAUGGGUUUUUGGCUUUUGCUCAUUGUUGAAGGCUAUUGGACGACCUGUAAUUGUUUAUAUCUGUGUCCUAUGGUCUAGGAAUAAUUGUAUCAUUGUUAAUCAUACCACACCUCCUUAGGUAACUUUGAACACAGACAAAUAGACGCUGCAUGAAAUUGAUAGGACAUUUCUGGAAUCAUGUCUUUCACCGGAAAAUAUCCUCAAUUUCGCAC